UGGGGAAUAUUGGACAAUGGGGGAAACCCUGAUCCAGCAAUGCCGCGUGUGUGAAGAAGGCCUGCGGGUUGUAAAGCACUUUUGGCAGGGAAGAAAAGCACUGGCCGAAUACGCCAGUGUGUUGACGUAACCUGCAGAAGAAGCACCGGCUAACUCUGUGCCAGCAGCCGCGGUAAUACAGAGGGUGCAAGCGUUAAUCGGAAUUACUGGGCGUAAAGGGCGCGUAGGCGGUUAGGUAAGUCGGAUGUGAAAUCCCCGGGCUCAACCUGGGAAUUGCAUUCGAUACUGCUUAGCUAGAGUGUGGAAGAGGGAAGCGGAAUUUCCGGUGUAGCGGUGAAAUGCGUAGAUAUCGGAAGGAACACCAGUGGCGAAGGCGGCUUCCUGGUCCAACACUGACGCUGAGGCGCGAAAGCGUGGGGAGCGAACA
rnacentral:rRNA from 1 species